UACUGUCUCCUGUCUGCUGCUGCUCAGAUAAGAAGUCUCUACUGUCUCCUGUCUGCUGCUGCUCAGAUAAGAAGUCUCUACUGUCUCCUGUCUGCUGCUGCUCAGAUAAGAAGUCUCUACUGUCUCCAGUCUGCUGCUGCUCAGAUAAGAAGUCUCUACUGUCUCCUGUCUGCUGCUGCUCAGAUAAGAAGUCUCUACUGUCUCCUGUAUGCUGCUGUUCAGAUAAGAAGUAUCUACUGUCUCCUGUCUGCUGCUGUUCAGAAAAGGCUCGUGUCAUCAGCUCAUCUGCAUGAUGCACCAACCAGUAUGACAUCAUCAUCAACAACACACUAACCCGAGUGCCAAGACAACCUCUACCUUUGAAACUUCCUACUAGAACCACAACUAAACAACAAAUGCUGUUUCCUUUGACUGAAUUGCUAGGAGUUCUUCAUCAGGGGUUGUAUGUUUCAAGCAUCUCAGAAUAUGAGUGCUGGUCUACGAUCAGGAACUCCCUGUAGUUAUUAUAAUUGUCUUCAUUAUGACCUGAGAGGCAAAACUGAUCCUAGAUCAGCACUUCUACUCAGAGACAUUUUGGGAAUACAGGCCUUGAAUGCUAUUUUCCACCAUCACAAUGCUUAGAGAUGCUGCAUCUUAAUCAAAUAUGUUCUCCAAGAGAGGAGUGUCACAGUAGACACGUGUUCUGUUCUAUUCUUGCAGUAUUAAUAAUCUAUCUAUAUCUUCUAUAUAACACGUGAGCUUUUUUGAUUCCAAUAUAGACAUGGCCUAUCUUAAAAAGGUACUGUAGUGUGUAGGAUCAAUCUGAGUGUUGUGUAAGUGAUGGAUUAGGCUGUACUAGCUCUGGUCCAGGGUGUUAGUACGGCUACCUUCAGGUAGUCUGUGGUCCAGGGUGUUAGUACAGCUACCUUCAGGUAGUCUGUGGUCCAGGGUGUUAGUGUGGCUGCCUUCAGGUAGUCUCUGGUCCAGGGUGUUAGUACAGCUACCUUCAGGUAGUCUCUGGUUCAGGGUGUUAGUGCAGCUACCUUCAGGUAGUCUCUGGUCCAGGGUGUUAAUGUGGCUACCUUCAGGUAGUCUCCGGUCCAGGGUGUUAGUGCGGCUACCUUCAGGUAGUCUCUGGUCCAGGGUGUUAAUGUGGCUACCUUCAGGUAGUCUCUGGUCCAGGGUGUUAAUGUGGCUACCUUCAGGUAGUCUCUGGUCCAGGGUGUUAAUGUGGCUACCUUCAGGUAGUCUCCGUUCCAGGGUGUUAGUACGGCUACCUUCAGGUAGUCUGUGGUCCAGGGUGUUAGUACAGCUACCUUCAGGUAGUCUCUGGUCCAGGGUGUUAGUGUGGCUACCUUCAGGUAGUCUCUGGUCCAGGGUGUUAGUACAGCUACCUUCAGGUAGUCUCUGGUCCAGGGUGUUAGUGUGGCUACCUUCAGGUAGUCUCCGGUCCAGGGUGUUAGUGUGGCUACCUUCAGGUAGUCUCUGGUACAGGGUGUUAGUGUGGCCAGGUCACAUGUAAACUCCAUGGACCAGAGUGUUAGUGCUGCUGAAGUCUCAGCAGGGGGCAUGUAAACUCCAUGGACCAGAGUGUUAGCGCGGCUUGCUGAAGUCUCAGCAGGGGGCAUGUUAACUCCAUGGACCAGAGUGAAGGCUAUACCUACUUUCAAUGAUGACCUCUAUCACAAAAUGUGUCAUUGUUGUGAAGUUGGAAAAAGCGGUUUGUGAGUGUUAUCGUAUCUCUCAUACGGCCUAAUUCACUGGCUUUCAGUGAAGUGAGCAAUUACCUCUUUGCGUCCCAAAUGGUACCCUGUUCCCUAUAUAGUACCCUACUUCUGACCAGGACCCUAUGGGUCCAGGGGUGCUAUUUGGGACGCAGAUCGAGAGUGAAGUAGGUAGCUAGCCAUGUGUGACAAUAUGAUAAAUAACAAAGUGCUGUUAUAAUAUGUGCAAUACAGAUGUGGGAUCUUAGAUCACCCUGUUGCAGGAAACAUAAAACUUGUAAUGUAUUUGUAAUUUCCAUUUACGACUUGAUUUUCCAUUAUGAGCAAUGUAAUCAACCCUUACAAAAAUGUCCAUUAAUUAUAAUCCAGAUCUCCUGUUGCUACAGGAUUAUUUUCCUGCUGUAGCAACCUGGCUCAAAUUAAGAUCCUACAUCUAUAACCUCCUUUGAUAGAGAAACAUUGGUGUGUUUGGGGGACUGGUGGGAAGCACUUUGUGAAAUAAAUAGUUUUGUUCUUUUCAGGCCAAUUUAGGUGCUUUAGAUGUAUAAUUAAUGAAAUAUCAUCAUACCAAAAAUGUCUUUGUUCAUUGUAAUCUGUUUUCCAUCUUAGUUGAACCUGACAGUCAACUGUUGAGUUAAUAGUAUCUUUUAAUUAAAUAGAGUAGCAAUA